rnacentral:rRNA from 1 species
UACGUAGGGUGCAAGCGUUGUUCGGAAUUACUGGGCGUAAAGCGCGCGUAGGCGGGCUUGUAUGUCGAUUGUGAAAGCCCCGGGCUUAACCUGGGAAUGGCAGUCGAAACUGCAAGUCUUGAGUGCCUAAGAGGAUGGCGGAAUUCCCGGUGUAGAAGUGAAAUUCGUAGAGAUCGGGAAGAACACCUGAGGCGAAGGCGGCUAUCUGGUGGUGCACUGACGCUGGAAGUGCGAAAGCGCGGGGAGCAAACAGG